rnacentral:pre_miRNA from 1 species
UUAACUCAACUAUGUUGAAAUUGGGACGUUUGCCUACGUUUGCCGCUAGGGGCGCUGUUCCAACUGCAUACAAAUUUAAGUUA